rnacentral:rRNA from 1 species
AUGAACGCUAGCUACAGGCUUAACACAUGCAAGUCGAGGGGCAGCAUGGUCUUAGCUUGCUAAGACUGAUGGCGACCGGCGCACGGGUGAGUAACACGUAUCCAACCUGCCGUCUACUCUUGGACAGCCUUCUGAAAGGAAGAUUAAUACAAGAUGGCAUCAUGAGUCCGCAUGUUCACAUGAUUAAAGGUAUUCCGGUAGACGAUGGGGAUGCGUUCCAUUAGAUAGUAGGCGGGGUAACGGCCCACCUAGUCUUCGAUGGAUAGGGGUUCUGAGAGGAAGGUCCCCCACAUUGGAACUGAGACACGGUCCAAACUCCUACGGGAGGCAGCAGUGAGGAAUAUUGGUCAAUGGGCGAGAGCCUGAACCAGCCAAGUAGCGUGAAGGAUGACUGCCCUAUGGGUUGUAAACUUCUUUUAUAAAGGAAUAAAGUCGGGUAUGCAUACCCGUUUGCAUGUACUUUAUGAAUAAGGAUCGGCUAACUCCGUGCCAGCAGCCGCGGUAAUACGGAGGAUCCGAGCGUUAUCCGGAUUUAUUGGGUUUAAAGGGAGCGUAGAUGGAUGUUUAAGUCAGUUGUGAAAGUUUGCGGCUCAACCGUAAAAUUGCAGUUGAUACUGGAUAUCUUGAGUGCAGUUGAGGCAGGCGGAAUUCGUGGUGUAGCGGUGAAAUGCUUAGAUAUCACGAAGAACUCCGAUUGCGAAGGCAGCCUGCUAAGCUGCAACUGACAUUGAGGCUCGAAAGUGUGGGUAUCAAACAGGAUUAGAUACCCUGGUAGUCCACACGGUAAACGAUGAAUACUCGCUGUUUGCGAUAUACCGCACGCGGCCAAGCGAAAGCGUUAAGUAUUCCACCUGGGGAGUACGCCGGCAACGGUGAAACUCAAAGGAAUUGACGGGGGCCCGCACAAGCGGAGGAACAUGUGGUUUAAUUCGAUGAUACGCGAGGAACCUUACCCGGGCUUAAAUUGCAGAUGAAUUACGGUGAAAGCCGUAAGCCGCAAGGCAUCUGUGAAGGUGCUGCAUGGUUGUCGUCAGCUCGUGCCGUGAGGUGUCGGCUUAAGUGCCAUAACGAGCGCAACCCUUGUUGUCAGUUACUAACAGGUUCUGCUGAGGACUCUGACAAGACUGCCAUCGUAAGAUGUGAGGAAGGUGGGGAUGACGUCAAAUCAGCACGGCCCUUACGUCCGGGGCUACACACGUGUUACAAUGGGGGGUACAGAGGGCCGCUACCACGCGAGUGGAUGCCAAUCCCCAAAACCUCUCUCAGUUCGGACUGGAGUCUGCAACCCGACUCCACGAAGCUGGAUUCGCUAGUAAUCGCGCAUCAGCCACGGCGCGGUGAAUACGUUCCCGGGCCUUGUACACACCGCCCGUCAAGCCAUGGGAGCCGGGGGUACCUGAAGUGCGUAACCGCGAGGAGCGCCCUAGGGUAAAACUGGUGACUGGGGCU